rnacentral:rRNA from 1 species
GAUGAACGCUGGCGGCGUGCCUAAUACAUGCAAGUCGAGCGAACGGACGAGAAGCUUGCUUCUCUGAUGUUAGCGGCGGACGGGUGAGUAACACGUGGAUAACCUACCUAUAAGACUGGGAUAACUUCGGGAAACCGGAGCUAAUACCGGAUAAUAUUUUGAACCGCAUGGUUCAAAAGUGAAAGACGGUCUUGCUGUCACUUCUAGAUGGAUCCGCGCUGCAUUAGCUAGUUGGUAAGGUAACGGCUUACCAAGGCAACGAUGCAUAGCCGACCUGAGAGGGUGAUCGGCAACACUGGAACUGAGACACGGUCCAGACUCCUACGGGAGGAAGCAGUAGGGAAUCUUCCGCAAUGGGCGAAAGCCUGACGGAGCAACGCCGCGUGAGUGAUGAAGGUCUUCGGAUCGUAAAACUCUGUUAUUAGGGAAGAACAUAUGUGUAAGUAACUGUGCACAUCUUGACGGUACCUAAUCAGAAAGCCACGGCUAACUACGUG